UCUGGUUGAUACGGCCAGUAGCAUAUGCUUGUCUCAAAGAUUAAGCCAUGCAUGUCUAAGUAUAAAUAGUAUACAGUGAAACUGCGAAUGGCUCAUUAAAACAGUUAUAGUUUAUUUGAUAGUGGAAGCCUACAUGGAUAACCGUAGUAAUUCUAGAGCUAAUACAUGCGUCCAAACCUGACUGAAUUGAAAGGUUGUAUUUAUUAGAUACGAAGCCAAUACUCUUUCGGGAGUGUUGUGGUGAGUCAUAGUAACUGAUCGAAUCUCUCAUCUGAGAGAUAAAUCAUUCAAGUUUCUGCUCUAUCAGCUUUCGAUGGUAGUGUAUUGGACUACCAUGGCAGUCACGGGUAACGGAGAAUUAGGGUUCGAUUCCGGAGAGGGAGCCUGAGAAACGGCUACCACAUCUAAGGAAGGCAGCAGGCGCGUAAAUUACCCAAUCCUGACUCAGGGAGGUAGUGACAAGAAAUAACAACCCGGGGGAUUCACAUCCUUACGGGAUUGCAAUGAGAACAAUUUAAAUCACUUAACGAGGAUCAAUUGGAGGGCAAGUCUGGUGCCAGCAGCCGCGGUAAUUCCAGCUCCAAUAGUGUAUAUUAAAGUUGUUGCAGUUAAAAAGCUCGUAGUUGAACUUCUGACAGUGUGCAGUUUUGGUUUCUAUCAGGCUGCAUUGCUGUCAUCCGUCUGCAAACUCUGUUCAAUCUUCGCUGGUUGGCAGGGGGAGUAGACAUUUUACUUUGAAAAAAUUAGAGUGUUUCAAGCAGGUUAUUGCCAGAAUACUUUAGCAUGGAAUAAUGGAAUAGGACUCUUGUCCAUUUGGUUGGUUAUUGGACCAGAGUAAUGAUUAACAGGGACAGUUGGGGGCAUUAGUAUUUAAUUGUCAGAGGUGAAAUUCAUGGAUUUAUUAAAGACUAACUUAUGCGAAAGCAUUUGCCAAGGAUGUUUUCAUUAAUCAAGAACGAAAGUUAGGGGAUCAAAGACGAUCAGAUACCGUCCUAGUCUUAACUAUAAACGAUGUCGACUCGGGAUUGGAAAGGUUUCCAAUUAUCCUUUCCAGCACCGUAUGAGAAAUCAUUAAGUCUUUGGAUUCUGGGGGGAGUAUGGUCGCAAGGCUGAAACUUAAAGGAAUUGACGGAAGAGCACCACCAGGCGUGGGACCUGCGGCUUAAUUUGACUCAACACGGGAAAACUUAUUUCAGCAAAACAUGAGUGGGAUUGACAGAUUGAGAGCUCUUUCUUGAUUUUAUGGGGUGUGGUGCAUGGCCGUUCUUAGUUGGUGGAGUGAUUUGUCUGGUUAAUUCCGUUAACGAACGAGACCUUAACCUGCUAACUAGUCAGUGUGUUAACCUACGCUCUGUACUUCUUAGA
rnacentral:rRNA from 1 species